GCUUUGGUGGUCCAGAGGUAUGAUUUUCGCCUGCCACGCGGAAGACCCGGGUUCGAUUCCCGGCCAAUGCA
rnacentral:tRNA from 1 species